rnacentral:rRNA from 1 species
AGCGAACGCUGGCGGCAGGCCUAACACAUGCAAGUCGAACGAAGCCUUCGGGCUUAGUGGCGGACGGGUGAGUAACACGUGGGAACGUACCUUUUGGUUCGGAGCAACUCAGGGAAACUUGAGCCAAUACCGGAUGAGCCCUUAGGGGGAAAGAUUUAUCGCCGAAAGAGCGGCCCGCGUUAGAUUAGCUAGUUGGUGAGGUAAAGGCUCACCAAGGCUACGAUCUAUAGCUGGUCUGAGAGGAUGAUCAGCCACACUGGGACUGAGACACGGCCCAGACUCCUACGGAGGCAGCAGUGGGGAAUCUUGCGCAAUGGGCGAAAGCCUGACGCAGCCAUGCCGCGUGAAUGAUGAAGGUCUUAGGAUUGUAAAAUUCUUUUACCAGGGACGAUAAUGACGGUACCUGGAGAAAAAGCCCCGGCUAACUUCGUGCCAGCAGCCGCCGUAACAC